UAAAUAAUACUUAAUGUUCUAUGCGCAAAAACAUUUCUUCAAGAAUUCUAAACAGAGGUAUACAGGGCCAUUUUUUCUUUUGGUAAAGAUUCCAGGCUAGGUUAGGAGUUGUCUUAAAUAUCUGUGUCAACUACCUCAAUCAUUCCACAAGCAUUUUUUUGGUCAUGUACUAUGAUACAGGGACUAUGCACCAAGUUUAUAUUCUCAGGAAGCUCACAUCAUCACAUUGUGUUAAAUACUCUAACAAAAUGCUGAAGGAAGAAAAAACUCAAGCUGAGAUUUCCAGAAAAAUUCAGUAAUAACUGAGUCUCGAAUACUGAGUGAGAUUGUUCAACAGCAGUUCUCAAAGCAGGGCCCAAACAAAAACAUAUAAAUUAGAAAGAAGCAAACCUGAUUAUGUCCAGAUGAUGCAUUUUAAGGAACUCCUAUGGGCCCUGAGAAUAAUACUAAAAUGCUGUUUGCCUUCUUCCACUGAUGGUGCACUAAUAGUGGUAGAUAAAAAUGCCAGUGCCUUAGCAGGAAUCAACAAUCCCUACCUGUACUAGUUAGUGUAAAGUGAAAGUGAAAGUGAAGUCACUCAGUCGUGUCCGACUCUUUGUGNNNNNNNNNNNNNNNNNNNNNNNNNNNNNNNNNNNNNNNNNNNNNNNNAGGCAAGAGUACUGGAGUGGGGUGCCAUUUCCUUCUCCAGGGGAUCUUCAACACCCAGGGAUCAAACCCGGGUUUCCCACAUUGUAGGCAGACGCUUUUACCGUCUGAGCCACCAGGGAAGCCCCCUUUCACUUUCAGUCCGUGUAAACGUCAACAUUAUUUUUUGAAAAAAAAGGCUUUUCACUUAAGAUGAUCGUUAAUGAAGAAGUAAAACAAAAUAAAGUUUUAAUCUUCACCCUUAUACUUUUAAAAUUCUGUGACAGAAUACACACCAAAAACUACUGCUCCUCACAAAAAUAUUACAAUAGAAUAGUAUGAUAUCAUAUAUUAUCGUUCAAGAUAUGAUUCAUUAUCACUCAAGAAAAAGCAUUCUGACCACCGAGUUGUCAGCUAAACAAGCUACUUUUUUCAUGACAUAUCAUUUUUACUUAAAAGAACAUAUAUACAAACUGUACUUAUUCACACGGUAUGGUAGACAUCUUCUUAAAAAGUGAGUGAAGCAAGCCUACCAAUUAAAGAAAAACAGAUAAAAGUAUUUGUAGCUGAUGACAAAAAUUAACAUUUUUAAGUAACAAGACUUAUGCUAAGUCCAUCAAUAUGGGUUCAGAUUCCACAAUACAAUCUUUCUUCCACCAACCUUUAAUAUUUGCCAAGUUUCAGUGUGAUAACAAAAAAUACCCACAUUUUUGUGAAAGGCUCUAAAAACACAAUUUUUUUCUAACAAUAAAUCUGUCCAGGGCCAGAUUUCCCUCACAUAUACUUUAAACAGUACCUCACAACAGACUGAAAGAGGAAGUAAAUGUGAGAAUCCAACCGUCUUCUGUUAAGUCAAAUAUUUAGUCUUGUAAAAAAUGUAAAACAAUGCCAUUUUUCUCAGUAAAUGUUUAUUUUGGAAAAGUUACUUUUCUUUUUAAAAUGUUAUUAAUGUAACUAUGAUGCCAUCAUUUUUAAGUAACAAUAAACCUACCUAUAAAUAAAUUUUUAACUCAAGUUAAAAUUUUAAUAAAGUAUUGAUAGACAUAUCCAUAUAAACAAAAGUUAUUUCUGAGCUCUCCAUACAAUUUGAAACAAAGCUAGAGGAGCUGAUGGAAUUCCAGUUGAGCUAUUUCAAAUCCUAAAAGGUAUGCUGUUAAAGUGCUGCACUCAAUAUGCCACCAAACUUGGAAAACUCAGCAGUGGCCACAGGACUGAAAAAGGUCAGUUUU
ensembl:lncRNA